GGGAAAUCUAGAUCUCCCUCUCAUCGACCUCUCAUCCCCCGAUCGCGCAUCCGCCGCAAAAUUGAUUCGUAAGGCAUGUCUGGAUCAUGGAUUCUUCUACGUGAUCAAUCAUGGCAUCGAGGAGUCGGUUUUUCAGCAGGUGUUUAGCGAGAGCAAGAGCUUCUUCUCGCUGUCCCUUGCCGAGAAGAUGAAGCUCGAGCGUAGUAGGCAUCACAGGGGAUAUACGCC
rnacentral:misc_RNA from 1 species